UACGGAGGAUCCGAGCGUUAUCCGGAUUUAUUGGGUUUAAAGGGUGCGCAGGCGGGAGAUUAAGUCGGCGGUGAAAUUUUGCAGCUCAACUGUAAAAGUGCCUUCGAAACUGGUUUCCUUGAGUGUAGAUGAAGUAGGCGGAAUUUGUGGUGUAGCGGUGAAAUGCAUAGAUAUCACGAGGAACUCCGAUUGCGCAGGCAGCUUACUAAACUACUACUGACGCUCAGGCACGAAGGCGUGGGGAUCAAACAGGAUUAGAUACCCCCUGUA
rnacentral:rRNA from 1 species